CUAGCUACAGGCUUAACACAUGCAAGUCGAGGGGCAGCAUUUCAGUUUGCUUGCAAACUGGAGAUGGCGACCGGCGCACGGGUGAGUAACACGUAUCCAACCUGCCGAUAACUCGGGGAUAGCCUUUCGAAAGAAAGAUUAAUACCCGAUGGUAUAAUCAGACCGCAUGGUCUUGUUAUUAAAGAAUUUCGGUUAUCGAUGGGGAUGCGUUCCAUUAGGCAGUUGGUGAGGUAACGGCUCACCAAACCUUCGAUGGAUAGGGGUUCUGAGAGGAAGGUCCCCCACAUUGGAACUGAGACACGGUCCAAACUCCUACGGGAAGCAGCAGUGAGGAAUAUUGGUCAAUGGGCGCAGGCCUGAACCAGCCAAGUAGCGUGAAGGAUGACUGCCCUAUGGGUUGUAAACUUCUUUUAUAUGGGAAUAAAGUUUUCCACGUGUGGAAUUUUGUAUGUACCAUAUGAAUAAGGAUCGGCUAACUCCGUGCCAGCAGCCGCGGUAAUACGGAGGAUCCGAGCGUUAUCCGGAUUUAUUGGGUUUAAAGGGAGCGUAGGUGGACAGUUAAGUCAGUUGUGAAAGUUUGCGGCUCAACCGUAAAAUUGCAGUUGAUACUGGCUGUCUUGAGUACAGUAGAGGUGGGCGGAAUUCGUGGUGUAGCGGUGAAAUGCUUAGAUAUCACGAAGAACUCCGAUUGCGAAGGCAGCUCACUGGACUGCAACUGACACUGAUGCUCGAAAGUGUGGGUAUCAAACAGGAUUAGAUACCCUGGUAGUCCACACAGUAAACGAUGAAUACUCGCUGUUUGCGAUAUACAGUAAGCGGCCAAGCGAAAGCAUUAAGUAUUCCACCUGGGGAGUACGCCGGCAACGGUGAAACUCAAAGGAAUUGACGGGGGCCCGCACAAGCGGAGGAACAUGUGGUUUAAUUCGAUGAUACGCGAGGAACCUUACCCGGGCUUAAAUUGCAUUUGAAUAUAUUGGAAACAGUAUAGCCGUAAGGCAAAUGUGAAGGUGCUGCAUGGUUGUCGUCAGCUCGUGCCGUGAGGUGUCGGCUUAAGUGCCAUAACGAGCGCAACCCUUAUCUUUAGUUACUAACAGGUCAUGCUGAGGACUCUAGAGAGACUGCCGUCGUAAGAUGUGAGGAAGGUGGGGAUGACGUCAAAUCAGCACGGCCCUUACGUCCGGGGCUACACACGUGUUACAAUGGGGGGUACAGAAGGCAGCUACCUGGUGACAGGAUGCUAAUCCCAAAAGCCUCUCUCAGUUCGGAUCGAAGUCUGCAACCCGACUUCGUGAAGCUGGAUUCGCUAGUAAUCGCGCAUCAGCCAUGGCGCGGUGAAUACGUUCCCGGGCCUUGUACACACCGCCCGUCAAGCCAUGAAAGCCGGGGGUACCUGAAGUACGUAACCGCAAGGAGCGUCCUAGGGUAAAACUGGUAAUUGGGG
rnacentral:rRNA from 1 species